rnacentral:rRNA from 1 species
CCCUUAGAUGUCCUGGGCCGCACGCGCGCUACAAUGACACAUGCAACAAGUUCUAUCCUGGCUCGGAAGAGUUUCGGGUAAUCUUUAUAAUGUGUGUCGUGCUGGGGAUCGAUCUUUGUAAUUAUGGAUCUUGAACGAGGAAUUCCUAGUAAGCAUAAGUCAUCAGCUUGUGCUGAUUACGUCCCUGCCCUUUGUACACACCGCCCGUCGCUCCUACCGAUUGGGUGUGCUGGUGAAAUGUUCGGAUCGGCCGUUUGUCGCGGUUUCCGCGUCAUGUGGCUGAGAAGUUCAUUAAACCCUCCCACCUAGAGGAAGGAGAAGUCGUAACA